rnacentral:rRNA from 1 species
CACGUAGGGCGCAAGCGUUGUCCGGAAUUAUUGGGCGUAAAGAGCUCGUAGGCGGUCUGUUGCGUCCGCUGUGAAAACUCGGGGCUUAACCCCGAGCCUGCAGUGGAUACGGGCAGACUAGAGGUAGGUAGGGGAGAAUGGAAUUCCCGGUGUAGCGGUGAAAUGCGCAGAUAUCGGGAGGAACACCAGUGGCGAAGGCGACUUCCUGGCCUGUUCUUGACGCUGAGGCGCGAAAGCUAGGGGAGCAAACGGGG